rnacentral:rRNA from 1 species
UACGGAGGACCCGAGCGUUAUCCGGAUUCAUUGGGUUUAAAGGGUUCGUAGGCGGACCUGUAAGUCAGUGGUGAAAUCCCUUCGCUUAACGAAGAAACUGCCAUUGAUACUGCUGGUCUUGAGUACAGUUGAGGUGGUCGGAAUGUGUCGUGUAGCGGUGAAAUGCUUAGAUAUGACACAGAACACCGAUUGCGAAGGCAGCUCGCUAAACUGUAACUGACGCUGAGGCACGAAAGCGUGGGUAGCAAACAGG